rnacentral:rRNA from 1 species
AUUGAACGCUGACGGCAUGCUUUACACAUGCAAGUCGAACGGUAACAGGCCGCAAGGUGCUGACGAGUGGCGAACGGGUGAGUAAUGCAUCGGAACGUGCCCAGUCGUGGGGGAUAACUGCUCGAAAGAGCAGCUAAUACCGCAUACGAUCUAUGGAUGAAAGCGGGGGACCGUAAGGCCUCGCGCGAUUGGAGCGGCCGAUGUCAGAUUAGGUAGUUGGUGGGGUAAAGGCUCACCUAGCCAACGAUCUGUAGCUGGUCUGAGAGGACGACCAGCCACACUGGGACUGAGACACGGCCCAGACUCCUACGGGAGGCAGCAGUGGGGAAUUUUGGACAAUGGGGGCAACCCUGAUCCAGCAAUGCCGCGUGCAGGAAGAAGGCCUUCGGGUUGUAAACUGCUUUUGUACGGAACGAAACGGUCUGGGUUAAUACCCUGGGCUAAUGACGGUACCGUAAGAAUAAGCACCGGCUAACUACGUGCCAGCCGCCGCGGUAAUAC